AACGCCGCGUGAAUGAAGAAGGCCUUAGGGUCGUAAAGUUCUGUCCUUAGGGAAGAACCGUGGAUAUAGCAAAUGAUAUCCACCUGACGGUACCUUUGGAGGAAGCACUGGCUAACUACGUGCCAGCACCUGCGGUGACUGAGCGGGCUGGCAAGGCGCAUA
rnacentral:rRNA from 1 species